UACGGGGGGGGCAAGCGUUGUUCGGAAUCACUGGGCGUAAAGCGCACGUAGGCGGAUUGCUAAGUCAGGGGUGAAAUCCUGGAGCUCAACUCCAGAACUGCCUUUGAUACUGGCGACCUUGAGUCCGGGAGAGGUGAGUGGAACUGCGAGUGUAGAGGUGAAAUUCGUAGAUAUUCGCAAGAACACCAGUGGCGAAGGCGGCUCACUGGCCCGGUACUGACGCUGAGGUGCGAAAGCGUGGGGAGCAAACAGG
rnacentral:rRNA from 1 species